rnacentral:rRNA from 1 species
CCUACGGGGGGCAGCAGUGGGGAAUAUUGCACAAUGGGCGCAAGCCUGAUGCAGCCAUGCCGCGUGUAUGAAGAAGGCCUUCGGGUUGUAAAGUACUUUCAGCGAGGAGGAAGGCAUUAAGGUUAAUAACCUUAGUGAUUGACGUUACUCGCAGAAGAAGCACCGGCUAACUCCGUGCCAGCAGCCGCGGUAAUACGGAGGGUGCAAGCGUUAAUCGGAAUUACUGGGCGUAAAGCGCACGCAGGCGGUCUGUCAAGUCGGAUGUGAAAUCCCCGGGCUC